GCGUGCUUAACACAUGCAAGUCGAACGAUGAAGGAGGAGCUUGCUCCUCCGGAUUAGUGGCGAACGGGUGAGUAACACGUGAGCAAUGUGCCCUUGACUCUGGAAUAAGCGCUGGAAACGGCGUCUAAUACCGGAUACGACCCUCGGAGGCAUCUCCAGGGGGUGGAAAGAACUUCGGUCAAGGAUCAGCUCACGGCCUAUCAGUUAGUUGGUGAGGUAACGGCUCACCAAGACGACGACGGGUAGCCGGCCUGAGAGGGUGACCGGCCACACUGGGACUGAGACACGGCCCAGACUCCUACGGGAGGCAGCAGUGGGGAAUAUUGCACAAUGGGCGCAAGCCUGAUGCAGCAACGCCGCGUGAGGGACGACGGCCUUCGGGUUGUAAUCCUCUUUUACCAGGGAAGAAGCGAAAGUGACGGUACCUGCAGAAAAAGCACCGGCUAACUACGUGCCAGCAGCCGCGGUAAUACGUAGGGUGCAAGCGUUGUCCGGAAUUAUUGGGCGUAAAGAGCUCGUAGGCGGUUUGUCACGUCUGCUGUGAAAUCCCGAGGCUCAACCUCGGGCUUGCAGUGGGUACGGGCAGACUAGAGUGCGGUAGGGGAGAUUGGAAUUCCUGGUGUAGCGGUGGAAUGCGCAGAUAUCAGGAGGAACACCGAUGGCGAAGGCAGAUCUCUGGGCCGUAACUGACGCUGAGGAGCGAAAGCAUGGGGAGCAAACAGGCUUAGAUACCCUGGUAGUCCAUGCCGUAAACGUUGGGAACUAGAUGUGGGGACCAUUCCACGGUCUCCGUGUCGUAGCUAACGCAUUAAGUUCCCCGCCUGGGGAGU
rnacentral:rRNA from 1 species